CUCCUCUUUCUCUUCCACUAGUCCACCGAUUUGAUUAUGAAAACACUCUAGCAGGUGACAAUGACUACACUUGGGGAGAUGUUCCAAGCUGCUCGUCUGCGAUUGUGCAAAGGUGAUCACCUCAGAAAAUAAGCCUGUGAGGUGGACUACUCCUCUUGGGCUCCCAGUUGUGCAACCUUACCGCAAACCUGGAAGACAUCUUGUGAGUUUUCAACAGUAGAAGUAGAUACUAAUGUAGUCAAGAAUUCCUCGAAAAUGUAAGAACUUCCCUUUAGGUUUUAGCUUUGCAGAUAUACAAGGAUCUUCCAAGAUAGAUACAAAUAUUGUUCAGGUAUACAAGGAUCUUUCAAGAAAUAUUCAAAUCAUGUGAAGAUAUACAAGGAUCUUUCAAGAUAAACAUAAAUCUGUGGAAGAUAGACAUGGAUCUUCAAGGAUAAGUACAAAUCUAGGUAGUUAUUUUGGAUAACUACAAAUCUAGGGUUAUUAUGGAACCAAAUUAGGGUGUUUUGGCUAAAAUCCAACUCAAAGGAAGAUGAAAUUCUCGGUUUGCUAACCACACAUAACUAUUGUAA